CAGUAGCCGCGGUAAUACGAAGGGGGCUAGCGUUGUUCGGAAUCACUGGGCGUAAAGUGCACGUAGGCGGAUAUUUAAGUCAGGGGUGAAAUCCCGCAGCUCAACUGCGGAACUGCCUUUGAUACUGGGUAUCUUGAGUAUGGAAGAGGUUAGUGGAAUUGCGAGUGUAGAGGUGAAAUUCGUAGAUAUUCGCAGGAACACCAGUGGCGAAGGCGGCUAACUGGUCCAUAACUGACGCUGAGGUGCGAAAGCGUGGGGAGCAAACAGGAUUAGAUACCCCGGUAGUCCCUGUCUCUUAUAC
rnacentral:rRNA from 1 species